rnacentral:sRNA from 1 species
GUGCUAAGUGGAAUGUUGGUAUUAUAAUUGGAUGGAGGAGUUAGCCCAAACAAUGAACGGAAUACGAACCUACAGUUUGCUUCCUCCUUGUUUUUCUUUCCAAAAUAUGUCCUUGGAGGGGGCUGGCUAUUUUUUUGUUCUCUGUUUUCAGAUCAUCCUCAUCGGUUGAAGCUUAGUUAUUGAAGAUACGCAGGUGGGUGUGAUACUUCUUGGUUUAUUUUUAUUUUUAUUUUUAUUUUAUUUUAUUUUUUGCAACCAAUUUGUCCAUAACUUAAAAUGGAAGAUACAACAGUAACCAGCUAAUAAAAAUGAUGUUUGUUUCUGUAUGUAGCAAUUCCUAGGGGA